rnacentral:rRNA from 1 species
ACGUCCUACGGGAGAAAGCAGGGGACCUUCGGGCCUUGCGCUAUCAGAUGAGCCUAGGUCGGAUUAGCUUGUUGGUGAGGUAAUGGCUCACCAAGGCGACGAUCCGUAACUGGUCUGAGAGGAUGAUCAGUCACACUGGAACUGAGACACGGUCCAGACUCCUACGGGAGGCAGCAGUGGGGAAUAUUGGACAAUGGGCGAAAGCCUGAUCCAGCCAUGCCGCGUGUGUGAAGAAGGUCUUCGGAUUGUAAAGCACUUUAAGUUGGGAGGAAGGGCAGUAAGCUAAUACCUUGCUGUUUUGACGUUACCGACAGAAUAAGCACCGGCUAACUCUGUGCCAGCAGCCGCGGUAAUACAGAGGGUGCAAGCGUUAAUCGGAAUUACUGGGCGUAAAGCGCGCGUAGGUGGUUUGUUAAGUUGGAUGUGAAAGCCCCGGGCUCAACCUGGGAACUGCAUCCAAAACUGGCAAGCUAGAGUACGGUAGAGGGUGGUGGAAUUUCCUGUGUAGCGGUGAAAUGCGUAGAUAUAGGAAGGAACACCAGUGGCGAAGGCGACCACCUGGACUGAUACUGACACUGAGGUGCGAAAGCGUGGGGAGCAAACAGGAUUAGAUACCCUGGUAGUCCACGCCGUAAACGAUGUCAACUAGCCGUUGGAAUCCUUGAGAUUUUAGUGGCGCAGCUAACGCAUUAAGUUGACCGCCUGGGGAGUACGGCCGCAAGGUUAAAACUCAAAUGAAUUGACGGGGGCCCGCACAAGCGGUGGAGCA